rnacentral:rRNA from 1 species
UACGUAGGGUGCAAGCGUUAAUCGGAAUUACUGGGCGUAAAGCGUGCGCAGGCGGUUAUGUAAGGCAGAUGUGAAAUCCCCGGGCUCAACCUGGGAACUGCAUUUGUGACUGCAUAGCUAGAGUACGGUAGAGGGGGAUGGAAUUCCGCGUGUAGCAGUGAAAUGCGUAGAUAUGCGGAGGAACACCGAUGGCGAAGGCGGCAUCCUGGACCGACAUUGACGCUGAUGAGCGAAAGCUAGGGGAGCAAACGGG